AUUCUAAUUCUCUUCUUUUUCUAUUUGCCCAACUCUUCUGUCUAUCCUGUGCUGCCUUGAGUCUUCUCUUGAUCAGAUAAAUUUUGUCUCUAGCAUCUUGAACUAACUCGGGACCUAUUAAUUUCUUUUCACCCACUUCAUCCCAAUACAGAGGGGAUCUAUACUUUCUUCCAUAUAGGGCUUCAUAGGGUGCCAUCCGGAUACUAGAAUGAAAACUGUUGUUAUAUG
rnacentral:lncRNA from 1 species